UACUACAGCUUGGCACUGAACAUUGACCCUACAUGUGUAGGAUAGGUGGGAGGCUUUGAAGCAGGUACGCCAGUAUCUGUGGAGCCGUCCUUGAAAUACCACCCUUGUAGUGUUGAUGUUCUAACGUCGACCCCUUAUCGGGGUUGCGGACAGUGCCUGGUGGGUAGUUUGACUGGGGCGGUCUCCUCCCAAAGAGUAACGGAGGAGCACGAAGGUGGGCUAAUCACGGUUGGACAUCGUGAGGUUAGUGCAAUGGCAUAAGCCCGCUUGACUGCGAGAAUGACAAUUCGAGCAGGUGCGAAAGCAGGUCAUAGUGAUCCGGUGGUUCUGAAUGGAAGGGCCAUCGCUCAACGGAUAAAAGGUACUCCGGGGAUAACAGGCUGAUACCGCCCAAGAGUUCAUAUCGACGGCGGUGUUUGGCACCUCGAUGUCGGCUCAUCACAUCCUGGGGCUGAAGUCGGUCCCAAGGGUAUGGCUGUUCGCCAUUUAAAGUGGUACGCGAGCUGGGUUUAGAACGUCGUGAGACAGUUCGGUCCCUAUCUGCCGUGGGCGUUGGAAGAUUGAAGGGGGCUGCUCCUAGUACGAGAGGACCGGAGUGGACGAACCUCUGGUGUUCGGGUUGUGUCGCCAGACGCAUUGCCCGGUAGCUAAGUUCGGAAUCGAUAACCGCUGAAAGCAUCUAAGCGGGAAGCGAGCCCUGAGAUGAGUCUUCCCUGAUACUUUAAGUAUCCUAAAGGGUUGUCGGAGACUACGACGUUGAUAGGUCAGGUGUGUAAGUGCUGUGAGGCAUUGAGCUAACUGAUACUAAUUGCCCGUGAGGCUUAACCAUACAACACC
rnacentral:rRNA from 1 species